rnacentral:tRNA from 1 species
CGCGGGUUAGUGAAAAGGUAUCAUGAGGGGCUCAUUACCCCAAGUUCUGGGUUCGAAUCCCAGGCCCGCUA